AGUGGAUACUAUGUGUAUAUAUUGUGCUAAAUAGAUUCUAUUACUAAAAUUAAUUCACUUAUACUUUUUUGCCUUUUUUAAUACGGUGACUAGAAAUGUUUAUAAAUUACACAUGGGUUUCAAAUUCAUAUUUCUCUUGGGGGAACUGCUCUAAACACAGCAUGGUGCCGAAUCUUUAGCACAACCCAAGUGGGGUGGUGCGAUUCUCAUUUCCAUUUCUUAACCUCUCAAGCUUUGAGAGGUUAAGAAACUGGCCCAAAGACACACAACCAGUAAGAAGAGAAAACCAAAACCAAGGGAGUGCAAGAGUGGCAGCAGAGAGACCUGUAAGGAGAAAAUGCAUGAGGGAGUGAGCUGUCUUGUUAUGGAAGCAGAGGGCCACAACCUCAAGGUCCCCUAAUGAUGCCGUCUGAGGAACUGGGGCAUCACAUUCAUCCACCAAAUCCUUUUAGGGGAGGCACUUUGUGGGGAUGCCCCCCCCAGGAGAGGAGGUAUCUGGGCUAAUUUGACUACUGUUUUGGAGGAACGCAGGUGAACCCAGAGGUAGUUUCCACUACGCAAAAUGUUUUUUCCACUUCCUGUUCUUUGCUAUUUUGCUUUCUUCCGGUGUUAAACCACAGAGUUUCAGAAUCAGAUGAAACUUAGCGUGAAGGCCGGCCACAUGGUCUCCAGCCCCCAGAACCUGGUGACUCAACUAGAUUUCAUGAGGCCAAUCAAAGGACAGGCUUUUGCAAUGACAGGACUCCCUGUCCUGAAUGAGGCUCUGAGAGUAAGUUUGGAUUUCUUGAGAAUUUUCUUCUGAAGGCUGACCUGACGGAUAUUGCAUUUCUUCUGGGAAAGGGUCAGAGGAUUUUCGCUUCAGCCCCUGCAACUCCCUGGAAUGACUCGGGGGGUUUCUUUCACCAACAUCUGGCCUCACAAUCAUCACUGUGAGGAAGGAAGGAAACGCAGCAGAGUUGCUGGACCUGGGAGAGCCCCUUCAACGACAGCAGAUCACACUCUUGGAACCGGAAGUGUGGGCGUGUGUUAUGUUGCUGCGCAACCAAAGGCAACGAAGCAGCAAACCUCAGAAGGCAGAGCCCACUACCGAGGGGGAGUUUCGAGCAUGUCGGGUCCCCCAGAGGCUGGGCCUAGCUCAAUCAAGGGAAAAGUCAGCAUCCAAAAGUCCUUAAUGACGCAGAGGAAGCCAGGGGAAAAAGUCACUGGCAAGUCAUCACUGACUCACAGAACGUCUGAGAAGAAAUGAGCUGCGACCCGCAGCCACGCGAACCCCUCGCUUUCCCGAUAAAAAGGAACCGGAAGCCGGAAAGUAAUGGAUCGGGGCCCUACUGCCAGGUCAGAGCCAGAACCACCGCCCUCCCGGCCUCCGCUUCGUUCUGCAUUAACAGUUUGCAAACUCUCUGUCACGUGCUUUAGUUUCAUCUGAUCCUGAACUGAGAGCAAAUAUUUGUCUUUCAAGGGAGAGGCCAAAGGAGGACUGCUUCCUUUCCUCCUCGGAGAGGAGAAGAAUACUUUUCUAAUGCAAGUCUUAUUAGGAUUAAACGAGUUAAUCGUUUUUGGGGAUUCAAGAGAAUAUAAUAAAGGCCAUCCCUCCUCUCUUA